rnacentral:hammerhead_ribozyme from 1 species
AUUCAGCUGACGAGCCCUAAAUAGGACGAAAUGCGCGUCCUGGAU